CUUACACUGACGAGUUUCAAAUAGGACGAAACGCGCGUCCUGGAU
rnacentral:hammerhead_ribozyme from 1 species